GACGAACGCUGGCGGCGUGCUUAACACAUGCAAGUCGAACGGACAGGCGCUGCUUGCAGGGUACUCGCGUGGCGAACGGGUGAGUAACACGUGGGUGAUCUGCCCUGCACUUCGGGAUAAGCCUGGGCAACUGGGUCUAAUUCCGGAUAGGAGCUAUUUUUAGUGUGCUGGUUGGAUAGUUUUUUCGGUGUAGGAUGAGCUUGCGGCCUAUCAGCUUGUUGGUGGGGUAAUGGCCUACCAAGGCGGCGUCGGGUGGCCGGCCUGAGGGGGUGGCCGGCCACACUGGGACUGAGAGACGGCCGAGAUACCGACGGUUGGCAGCAGUGGGGAAUAUUGCACGAGGGGCGCAAGCCUGAUGCAGCAGCGCCGCGGGGGGUAUGACGGCCUUCUGGUGGAAAACGCCAUUCGCUAGUGACGAAGCUUGUUUUGACGGUACCUAGAGAAAAAGCACCGGCUAACUACGUG
rnacentral:rRNA from 1 species